rnacentral:lncRNA from 1 species
GCAAAACAACUCAAACGGGAAACUUACGGCCUGAUUUAAGUACAAAACAAUGAUAAAAAUACAAAUAUGAUGAACAAUACCAAAAGACACCAUUUAAUUACAAGCCCUUCUAACAGCAUGUGAACGGGCGUUUUCUUGUUUUGGUCUAUUACAUCCAGUUUCAUAUACAAAAAUAACACAACCAAUUAAACAAACUAACGUGUGACAAUUCUGCAUCUAUUGGUAAUAUUUUGCUUAAAUUCAAACCAAAAACGAC